rnacentral:snoRNA from 1 species
GUUUGAUGAACUCUUAGAUGACGAGUCUGAGCUUGCUGGCGUGAGGUUUCCUUGCGUCGGCUUUUGUGACGAGUCUUUCAAAUUUUACCAUUCAUGCAUAUCUGAUU